CCCCCCCAAGAUGGCGUUGUCCGUUCCUCGGAGUCGCGGCUGCUGCUGCGACAGAGAAUCGCCCUGGGAGCUGCUCUGUGACCCUGAACUCCGUGGAUUUCCGCAGAUGGUGGAAUUGCCUCUCUGUCCAUGUGCUGAUCUCGGGCUGCAGGGGACUGUCAGGCUGUGAGUUUGUGUUCUUCUCCCUGGGAAACUGGAAAUAAUUACCAGUCAGGUUUCAGAAAUGUUUUCAGAAGCCUUUGCCCUUUUCUCUGCCUUUGGCUGAUAGAUCUCCUCUUUGUGCCUUUGGCUUUGCAGCUUUUCCCUGGUGUCAUUUCCCUGCCUGAGCUGGCUGUGAGUUGGUGGUGGACGGCGAGGCCGGAGAGAGUGAGCGGAGGAGCCUCGGGCUGGAGAGGGGCAGGAGAAAGGCCCUGUGGGCAAAGGGACCUCCCUGUGUGCCCAGGGCCCUGCAGGGGACAGGAUGGACACUCUGGGGUCACUCUGAAGGGUGAGUGGAGAGCGUGGAGACAGAAUGUGAGUUCACCUCCAGGGAAUAAAUAGGGGAUGUUUGUGAGAGAAGGGCUGAGGGGUUUUGUCGGGAAGAGAAUGCCCAGUUUUGGGGUAACAAAGAUAAAAUCAGUUCUGUAGAGGAAGGAGAAAAGUGGGGGUGAAACUGGAUGUUAUUUGCAGGGGAGAGAAUGAGCAUUGAGAGGUGCCCUGGGGCAGUCAGCAGUGGGCAUGCAGGGAAAGUUCUGAGAGUAAACUUGCAAUAGUCUCUAGGGUAAGGAUUGAACAUAUUUAGGUAUCAAGGAGGUGAUUGGAUGUGGAGAGGUAGAGAAAUUUUGGGGGUUAAAAUCUGGGGCAACCUGUAGCAGAGAGAAUGAAAAUAUUGUGCAAAAACAGAGGUAAUCAGGAGUGGGCUGGAAGGGAAAGUGGGGAUGUAAUAGGAGAUAGUAUCCAUGGUAGAGAAUGACGAUUUGGAGGUAAAACUGAAGUAAUCAGCAGUGGACAGGCAGGGAAAAGUUUGAGGUAAAAUGUGGGGCAGUGUGUAGCAGAGAGAAGUAAGAUUUUGGGGUAAACUGAGGCCAUCAGUAGUGGGCAGGUAAGGAAGGUUCUGAGGGUAAAACUUGAGAAAAUCUCCAGGGUAGGAAAUGAAGAAUUGGAGGU